rnacentral:tRNA from 1 species
AGUCUUGUAUUCAAUUAUGAUUUUAAAUUGCAAAUUUAAAGGUGGAGUUUUCCAAGGCUU